rnacentral:rRNA from 1 species
UACGUAGGGUGCAAGCGUUACUCGGAAUUACUGGGCGUAAAGCGUGCGCAGGCGGUUUUGUAAGACAGGUGUGAAAUCCCCGGGCCUAACCUGGGAACUGCAUUUGUGACUGCAUGGCUAGAGUUUGUCAGAGGGGGGUGGAAUUCCACGUGUAGCAGUGAAAUGCGUAGAUAUGUGGAGGAACACCGAUGGCGAAGGCAGCCCCCUGGGAUGUGACUGACGCUCAUGUACGAAAGCGUGGGGAGCAAACAGG